AAUAAAUAACACUAAAUUGUACCUUAAUACUGCCUUGAUCAAGAGCAUGUCUUAUUUAAAAUUAAGCUCAGAGAAAGCAUACCACAUUACCAAUUAUCACUCCGUCAGAAAUAACACUUACUAAUCAGGCACCUGUAUACUGUGCCAUGUACAACCCAUUUCUUUAGGGGUUUUUUAAAAGCAAAAAAUUAUAAAAAAGUAUUAAGUUUCCAUACCGAGGGCCUUCUCCACCAGAGCGUUGUCUGUGAGGGCAAUGCGCUGUUUCCUCAUCCUGCCAUGGCCACGUUUGUAGAUGAGCUCA